GAUGAACGCUGGCGGCGUGCCUAAUACAUGCAAGUCGAGCGAACAGACGAGGAGCUUGCUCCUCUGACGUUAGCGGCGGACGGGUGAGUAACACGUGGAUAACCUACCUAUAAGACUGGGAUAACUUCGGGAAACCGGAGCUAAUACCGGAUAAUAUAUUGAACCGCAUGGUUCAAUAGUGAAAGACGGUUUUGCUGUCACUUAUAGAUGGAUCCGCGCCGCAUUAGCUAGUUGGUAAGGUAACGGCUUACCAAGGCAACGAUGCGUAGCCGACCUGAGAGGGUGAUCGGCCACACUGGAGCGUGGACACGGUCCAGACUCCUACGGGAGGCAGCAGUAGGGAAUCGGCCGCAAUGGGCGAAAGCUUGACGGAGCAACGCCGCGUGAGUGAUGAAGGUCUUCGGAUCGUAAAACUCUGUUAUUAGGGAAGAACAAAUGUGUAAGUAACUAUGCACGUCUUGACGGUACCUAAUCAGAAAGCAACGGCUAACUACGUG
rnacentral:rRNA from 1 species